rnacentral:tRNA from 1 species
GCCCCGUUGGCGGAAUUGGUAGACGCACCGCACUCAAAAUGCGGCGACCUUCGGUCGUGCUGGUUCGACUCCGGCACGGGGCA